CAGCCGCGGUAAUUCCAGCUCCA
rnacentral:ncRNA from 4 species